rnacentral:lncRNA from 1 species
AGAAAGGAUUAUGUGAGGACACCAAGAGGUGACCAUCAGCAAGCCCAGGAGAGAGGCCUCAGAAGAAACCAGACCUGCCGAUUCCUUGAUCUUGAACUUCUAGCCUCCGGAACUAUCCAACUUGAAUGCUUCCUGAUUAAAUAUAUACAGGAGUGAUUUCAGAGGAAUUUAAGUUUUGGAUCAUCCUUUUGAGAAAGAAAAAAAAGUACCCUUUUAAAAGAGCGUACUUUCAACAUAAAGACGACGAGGAUAAAGGCAUUUAUGAUGAACUACUUCCACAUAAUGAAUAAUUGAACAAAGGAGAGAAUUGUGAGAGUGAGAAAAAGUAAGUGAGACAAAGAAGAAAAACUAUAAAUCAGCAAAAUCCAGUGCCAAGAGCUCUGGACCACAAAUCAGAAGACCUGAGCCCUAAUUCCUUUCCAGUCAUUGGAUUUGUUCAUCGCUUGCCAAAACAGCAGCGAACUCUGUCAAACUGCAGCUCAUUUUAUCGGAGCAAAAACUGAACAAAGAACUGCUAUCAUGUCUGAGGUGUGAUUUCUUAAGCAUUUUGUCUUGUGAUUGAUUUUUUAAAUAUAGUAAUUUUAAAGACACGGUUGAAAGAAGCAGCUGAUAGCUAAUAUCUGAUGGGUAAUAUGCUAAAUUUCCCUGUCUGAUGUGAAAGAAUAAAGUAAAAGCAAAAUACAGGCAUUUUUCAUUCAGUGCAAGAAAAAAUACAAAGCAUGUUUCUAGAUCUAUCUAUGUAAGUCUAUUUUUAAAACUAAAAUGGGCUUUAAUGUUUCUUUAUUGAUUACUUAUUUACU